AUUGAACGCUGGCGGUAUGCUUAACACAUGCAAGUCGAACGGUAGCAGGCCUUCGGGCGCUGACGAGUGGCGGACGGGUGAGUAACGCGUAGGAAUCUGCCUGGUAGUGGGGGACAACUUAGGGAAACUUAAGCUAAUACCGCAUACGCCCUACGGGGGAAAGCGGGGGACCUUUUAGGCCUCGCGCUAUCAGAUGAGCCUGCGUUAGAUUAGCUAGUUGGUGGGGUAAAGGCCUACCAAGGCGACGAUCUAUAGCUGGUCUGAGAGGACGAUCAGCCACACUGGGACUGAGACACGGCCCAGACACCUACGGGUGGCUG
rnacentral:rRNA from 1 species